CUUCUUUGCUGGCGACCGGCGCACGGGUGAGUAACACGUAUCCAACCUGCCCUUUACUCGGGAUAGCCUUUCGAAAGAAAGAUUAAUACCCGAUAGUAUAAUGAUUCCGCAUGGUUUCAUUAUUAAAGGAUUCCGGUAAAGGAUGGGGAUGCGUUCCAUUAGGUUGUUGGUGAGGUAACGGCUCACCAAGCCUUCGAUGGAUAGGGGUUCUGAGAGGAAGGUCCCCCACAUUGGAACUGAGACACGGUCCAA
rnacentral:rRNA from 1 species